ensembl:lncRNA
AAAUGUAAGCUCUGGCUUUAUUAAAAUCUACAGAUUGAGUAAUAAAUAGGGUGCAUAAAAGUUUAUACAAUUAAGAUGCAUUCCUUUGAUUUCAUUGAAAUAUAAGCUAUUAUAUACUCACAAGGCUAACAUUUCUUCAUGGAUGGAAGGCAGGACAUGCAAGAAGCAAGCAUGCCAAGUUAUGUGGCUAUAGCAUGGCUCCGGCUUUUGUUCUAUUAUUACCCCAUUUCCCCGUCAUGCACAUGGUUUCUUUAGUCUCAUGUUUGUGUCUUGACAUUGUGGGUUGUGCUUAUUCAGUAAACAACAAAUCCAUACAUUUGUCAAAGUGUUGUCUCCAGUCCUGUGAGUCCGGAAAGCUGGUGCCUGCAUAUUCUAAAAAGCAUCUACUAUUUUCAGUGAUUCAUUCAUGCCAGACAGAAUCAGUCAUAAACAUAGAGUAGCAUAUAUUUGAAGAACAUGAGUCUGUGUGAAGCACCUUCUCAUGCUAGAUCAGGGUAGGCCAGAGAUCAUUCUGUUAAUGAACCCCUGGGUACAUGGUGGACAUUAAAGUGAGCAUGUUUAACAUAUACAGCUCAAUAGAAUGAAGUCAGUUCAGAAUGGGGAGGCACCCUUGUGUCCUCUUUGUAGGGUUACAUCACUGCGAAAGCAAUGGGGUCACUUGGAUGUUUUAAGAGAAUCUGGACUAUGAUCAUGUUCGUUUUUUUAGGUUAAUUGCACUCCUUUGCCAACAAAGCAUUUUAGCCUCAUGCAAUCGUUUGCAGAAAAUUAAGGUAAGCAUAUUGUGUCUCGUAUCUCGUGUCUUGAAUUCCAUUUGAUUGAACUAUAGUGUGAGCAGAAGUGGUCCAUACUGCCGGCAGUAGGCCUUCAUCACAGGAGCUCAUUAAGUCAAUGAAGGGUCUGUAUGCCAGUGGCCAUGAUUAACAUCAAGAGACACACCUGUGUUCAUCCUUAGUCUCCCACUUCUGAUGGAAGGCAUGUUCCUGCAUUUACCGCUAGGUGACAGAAGUGGCCCAUCAUCAAUUUGUGUUGAUGUAAAGCAACCAUACAAAAAAGUGUGCAAAUGACAUGGAAACCGCUGUUAAGUUGCCCAUUGAAAAAACAUUACUUUAUAUAUCUUUUAAAUUAUUUGAUCACAUAAAAAAGCAUAAUCGAAUGAUGUUAUCACUUGAAUGUGUUUACAUCACCAGACUAUUUAUGUUUAUAGAAACUCCUUUAUUCAAAAGCCUUGGUGCUAGCUAAAGCGUUUGGGUACAAUUAUAGUUAUUGGUCUUAUAACCCUGAUAUACAACAUUCUAGACAAUAUUUCCAUGCUUUUCCAUAUUGAAACAUAUAGUCCAGACCACUUUGUCCUCGAAAUAAUCGGCUUUGCAUCAAAGCCUGUCUAUUGAUAAUAGCAGAUGCUCUGUAUUCUUUCUCUCUGCGCUGUCAUUAUUUAUUAGUAACAGUUUAAUAGUAAAUCAGAAUCAUAAAUUCACCCGGAGGCAAUAGUCACUCUGAUCGAUUAGGGUUAGCUUCGCAGAUAUGAAUACAAAAACAUAUAAUUCCUUAAGAAUCCUUACAAAUGAAUAGUUCCCAUUCUGAAAAAAAGAUAUUGCAUCUUCUACAGAAGAUGCAAGAUCUUUGUUGUUCUUGGUGGCACAGUGCCAGCACUGCCAUUUCCCACCUGCCCAUGCUUUAUGUCAUUGAGUCUAAGGCAAUGCAGUAAGAACACAGAUUCACUGAGACCACAUCUCAACUGAAAGCCUAACUUCUAAUGUGUGUAUAUUUCGU